rnacentral:rRNA from 1 species
UGGGGAAUAUUGGACAAUGGGCGCAAGCCUGAUCCAGCCAUGCCGCGUGCAGGAAGAAGGCCUUCUGGGUCGUAAACUGCUUUUCUCUGGGGAUAAAAGCCCGUGCGCGAGAAAUUGAAGGUACCAGAGGAAUAAGCCACGGCUAACUACGUGCCAGCAGCCGCAGUAAUACGUAGGUGGCAAGCGUUGUCCGGAUUUAUUGGGUUUAAAGGGUGCGUAGGCGGUUCCAUAAGUCAGUGGUGAAAUACGGCAGCUCAACUGUCGAGGUGCCAUUGAUACUGCGGAACUUGAGUACUGAUGAGGUAGGCGGAAUUGACGGUGUAGCGGUGAAAUGCUUAGAUAUCGUCAAGAACACCGAUAGCGAAGGCAGCUUACCAAGCAGUAACUGACGCUGAGGCACGAAAGUGCGGGGAUCAAACAGGAUUAGAUACC